CGUUCUCUUCCUCCUCCCUAUCUCGCGAGAAAAGAUGGAAAAGAAGCUUCCUUCUCACGUUCCCUUCUGCCACCCUUCAUUUAGAAAUUCCGUCCUUUUUUCCCGAUUUCUUGCUUGUCUGACUGUACAAACGUCACUGAUUUUCCCGUGGCAACUGUUCGACCUCACUCGGUCCAGAAGAUCUACUUUCCACGAUCUUCGGCGCCUUCCCAUGCAUUCUCCGGCGUUGGCCAUCACGUCAACCAUUACGUGGCUGGAGCUGCGUAAUAUGAGGAGGGAUGUCGGCAAGUUUUGAACAAGAAAUCUUUCAGUGGAUCCGAGUUCAGAUUUCCUCAACCUAAGAAGAUUAAGCAAAGUUCACCAAUAUAUUAAAAACCGCCUUCUGGAUACUAAAUAUGCUUUUGCAUUCUUCUUCAACAUGUUUGGGUCCAAGCAAGAGGAAUUUGCAGAGCUGAUCUUGGUGGAUGGAAAUGUGUUGUUUUGGAGAAACCUUUUGGUAAGGAUCAACAAUCUGCAGUACUGAGAUUGGAGAGUUGUUUGAGGAGCCACAGGAUUAGCGCAUUGAACAUUAGUUGGGAAAGGAAACUUGUGCAAAACUUGGUGGUAAAUGUAUAUAUACUGAAUUUCUUCUGGCUUGAUUUAUGCAUUGUGCCUAAUCCCCUCUUCAUUUGACUUAUAUUGGUAUUUGGUAGUUAGUUGUUCGAUUUGCAAAUUGACUUUUCUUGCUUCUUUGGAACCGCGACAACAUUGACAAUGUAUAUUUUCUAGACUUUUUCUUUUUAGUGACACUACUGGUCUUUUUUUCAAUUGUGAUUCUCAUUCUCACGCUUUGGUUUUUUUGGUGUUGGUUUUGAAAUGGUCAUGCCUUUCUUCUAUGAAGAGGAUGGUCAUCAGGAGUGCUGCAAGUGAGGAAGGUUAGACUCUUGAGUAGGGAACUUAGGGCCUCACAUCAUGGAUUAUUGGGCAGAGAAUGGAUCAGUCACCACCCAUCUGAUUGAUGACAAGUAAAUCUGAUUUGUAACCUUUCAUGCUAUAUGCUUCAGGGUUGUUUUUAGUCAAAUUAGUAGUAAUUAAUGGAGAAACAACAUCAUUUAUAUUAGCCCAUGAAUAACGUAAACCAUGUUAAAGGUUGUGUUUUGUCCAUCUAACCAGUUCCUGAAUAUUAACUUCACCAGUCUAAUUAGUCCUGAAGUACUUGAAACAAGGACCAGCAUAAUAUAAAAUCAGGAGGUUUAUCCUUAAUUUUAAUUGUUUAGGAAUUAUUACAAUUGAUGCUAUAGUCAGUGAUUGAUUUGGUCUUUAACUCUUUCUAAUGUUCACUCUUAGGUAGUUUUGACUUUUGAAUGUAUCACCAUUGGAGUUAGCUUCAAUUUUUGAACAGCCAAAACUCCUCAGAACUCUAGAACCCAAUAGCAUCUCUAAUUUGCCCAUCCCCCACAAGCCCAAUUACCUUCCCCUGAAUCAUAGAAGGACUUUCCAGUACCAUGGCAUUGAUUCACUUGGUGAACUAUGGUGAUUCGCUUAUUGUGUAUUUUUUCCUCUGUAUAUAAUCCUUUGGAAUUUCUUUUCCCUCUGUCACAUGUUUUAGUUAAUAGGUUAAUGCAGUUUUUCUUCCUCCUUUGUCCUCUUCAAAAGUACAUGGAAGUAAUGGUGAAAUGAAUAUAUACUUGGUCUACAGUGGGUAAGUCAAGCUUAAUACUGUAAGAUGUUAGCAUUGUAGGAUUCCAGUUCUUAUAGUUUUCACGAAGAUCAAUGCAUUUAUAAGUUCGAAGUAAGGUACUCAACUCAAAAUGUUAAAUUUAAGCCUUUGAAAUGGCAAAAAAGUCUUAUAAUUGAAACCCUGAAAAUCUUAUAAUUCCAGUUUUUAUGUUUUAGUUUUCACUCACAAACUUAUCAAGAUUGAUUUAUUGCAUAAUGUGGAUUUUGUCAUUGCAGAAGAAAUUGUGUAAGCUGCAAGGAGGAAUGUUUUUGAAGGGUGUUGAAGAUAUACGAGUUCAAGCUGAUAUGUCCAAUUGUGGCAUUAGGAGGGAAAAGUCUGGUUCUAGCAGUGAAAUUUCUAUUCAAUGUGUUAAUGCUUAGUAACAUUCCUUUAAAAUAUAAAAAAAAUUGGUUUCAUUAAUACAUGUCUUUGGACAUGGCCGCCGUCGUUUCUUUCCUAUUAAAAAAGAAACUGAAAAGAAUGAUAUGUGCAAUUGUGACUUUAGGAGGACAAGGACCGGUUUUGACAGUGAAAUUUUUAUUCAUU